rnacentral:lncRNA from 1 species
AUCUCUGCUGCUGAGCUCCGCCACGUCAUGACGAACCUCGGCGAGAAGCUCACCGACGAGGAGGUGGACGAGAUGAUCCGUGAAGCCGACGUCGACGGUGAUGGCCAGAUCAACUAUGAGGAGUUUGUCAAGGUCAUGAUGGCCAAAUGAGCACCCAACCGUGCUCCCAAGACAGGAGGAGAAUUGUGCAUUGCAUAUUAGUUUAAGAUGCAACUCUUAUUUGAUCGAUUUCCAGUUAAGCAUCCUACCUAGCUGUAGCUGCUAAAACGGAUCGGACGACGCAAUUCCUGCUAUGUUCUCCAGUGUGUUUCCAGACCUCUUGUGUUUUAUGUGAACUUGUGUCCUCCCUGGUGUAUCCUGAUUGCUGUUGCGCCCGUUUGUAGUAUAUUUUUUCAUCAACUUCUGCUUGACUCUUCUAGUAUCAAUGGAAAGC